CCCAUAUGCAAUAUAUUCUUCAAGGCCAGCUGCUUAAAUUUCUCCAACACUAUGGCUUUCCAAAUGACUUUGAUGGCUUGUAAUAAUUAUACUGGUUUAAAUGCAUGUCAUGUCCUUUUCAAAAAACAUUCAUGCCAGGGCCAAUGUUCUGAUGCCAAAUCUUUCGGCUUGGAAAAGGCCUUUAAAAUGAGCUAAGCUU
rnacentral:lncRNA from 1 species